CAGGGAUCCACCCCAUAAUCAGCUUCCAAACGCUGACACCAUUGCAUACACUAGCAAGAUUUUAUCGAAAGAACCCAGAUGUAGCUGCCUCUUGUGAGACUAUGCCGGGUUCUAGAAAACACAGAAGUGGAUGCUCACAGUCAGCUAUUGGAUGGAUCACAGGGCUCCCAAUGGAGGAGCUAGAGAAAGUACCCAAGGAGCUAAAGGGAUCUGCAACCCUAUAGGUGGAACAAUAUUAUGAACUAACCAGUACCCCGGAGGUCUUGACUCUAGCUGCAUAUGUAUCAAAAGAUGGCCUAGUCAGCCAUCACUGGAAAGAGAGGCCCAUUGGACAUGCAAACUGUAUAUGCCCCAGUACAGGGGAACACCAGGGCCAAAAAAAUGGGAAUGGGUGUGUAGGGAAGUGGGGGGGGGUAUGGGGGACUUUUGGGAUGGCAUUGGAAAUGUAAUUGAGGAAAAUAUGUAAUAAAAAAUAUAAAAAAAAGAAAAUGAAAAAAAAUAAAUUAUACAUUGUAAAUUUAAAUAAAGAAGGACAAAAUUUCUGAAAGUACUUGUUUUGGGCAGUGUCAUUACAGUUAUUCUAAGGAGCCUGGAGAGAUGGCUCAGUGGAUAAGACUGAUGACUGCUCUUGUAGAAGACCCAGAUUCAGUUCUCAGACCCCACAGAACCCACAUCUGGCAGCUCACAGUUCCAGCUCCAGAUGCCCUCAUCCCACAAGUAGACACAUACGUAUACACAGAAUUAAGACCAACUAAUUGCAAUGUAUUUAUUUAUGUAUGUAUCUUGGAGGGAUAACCUGUUUCCUUUUAAUUUUUUGUUUGUUUUGAGAUAGGACCUCACUAUGUGGCCAAGGAUGACCUCCAACUCCUGAUCCUCCUGCAUUCACCUUCCAAGAGCUUUAAUUUUAGCAGUGCUAUCAUACCUGGCCUCAAGUGUUUUUAAAAACUGUUAAAAAAAAUUGGAGCCGGGCUCAGGUAUAUUGCCUAGUGGUUAAAGCCCUUGCUGUACCUUUAAUCCUAGUACACAGAAAGCAGACCCUAUGAAUUUGAGGCCAAAUUGGCCUACAUGAUGGGAGAUAUUCUGUCUCAAAUAACGGUGAUGAUUACCAAGGAAGACCUCUGCAUGAGUGUAAAGACUCACUGAGCAUGCACACCCAGGG
rnacentral:lncRNA from 1 species